rnacentral:rRNA from 2 species
UUCUUGACGACCAUAGAGCAUUGGAACCACCUGAUCCCAUCCCGAACUCAGCAGUGAAACGAUGCAUCGCCGAUGGUAGUGUGGGGCUUCCCCAUGUGAGAGUAGGUCAUCGUCAAGAUU